UACGUAGGUGGCAAGCGUUUGUCCGGAAUUAUUGGGCGUAAAGCGCGCGCAGGCGGUCCUUUAAGUCUGAUGUGAAAGCCCACGGCUCAACCGUGGAGGGUCAUUGGAAACUGGGGGACUUGAGUGCAGAAGAGGAAAGCGGAAUUCCACGUGUAGCGGUGAAAUGCGUAGAGAUGUGGAGGAACACCAGUGGCGAAGGCGGCUUUCUGGUCUGUAACUGACGCUGAGGCGCGAAAAGCGUGGGGAGCAAACAGG
rnacentral:rRNA from 1 species